rnacentral:rRNA from 1 species
UACGUAGGGUGCGAGCGUUGUCCGGAAUUACUGGGCGUAAAGAGCUCGUAGGUGGUUUGUCGCGUUGUCCGUGAAAACUCACAACUCAAUUGUGGGCGUGCGGGCGAUACGGGCAGACUGGAGUACUGCAGGGGAGACUGGAAUUCCUGGUGUAGCGGUGGAAUGCGCAGAUAUCAGGAGGAACACCGGUGGCGAAGGCGGGGUCUCUGGGCCGAUAUCGACGUGGAGGAGCGAAAAGCGUGGGGGAGCGAACAGG